UGUUGGUUUAGUAGUAGUGUAUACAGUGUUUUCAGCAUAAUUAUCAUCAAUGGCUCCAAAAAUUCCAACUCAGAAGAGGUAGUGCUAAAUAACCUGAUUCUAUAUAAAAGGAUUAUUUUCAUUAGAAAAUAUAAAGCUCACUAAACUAAACAGGCAAAGCUUUGCACACCAAGGGGUGGAGUAAACGGAUCAGAUUAGAUAUUCUCUUCAUUCGCAACCAGUCAUCAAAGCUGCCGAUUCUUAACCUACAAAAGAACAUCACUGUCGGCAAUGAAAAACUUCAACCCUUUAUUGUGUUGGAAGAUAGGAUAGUAAUAAGCAGUACGCUCCUUUCUAUUAUAUAUUCUACGGAAGCAAAAGACACGAACAUUGUUUUCAUUUCCUCAGUAAAAUUCCAAGAGCCAGGCAAAUUGAGACCUUGGAAUCAACCAGGAAAAAAGGAUGAAUCGUUGCGUGGAGUAGGCAAAUUGAGACCACGGAAUCGGAUCACUAUCCUAUCUCCACAGUUCUCUUGAUAAUGGUUCCAAAGUGGAAGCCGAAACGUCGAGAAUUAUAUAGAAAAGAAGAUAAAAUUAUUAAUGAAAACUAAUUUUAAAACAGA